UAUAUGUCAAAUUUUCAUGUGAAACUAUUUGACUAUUGAAAGAGCAAUAUGGUAUUUAGUUAUUAAUGUGAAGCAGCCCUACUGACACCUUAACACUUAACAGUCUUAUGUUUUUUGAUGUCUUAAUAAGCACUGAUUGGAUGUGAAUUAUUGUUAUUAAAAGAAAAUUUAUUAAGUGUUUCAGCAUUAUGUGAUGUCUAUAUGCCUUUUUACUUGGCUAGCUACUUUUUUGCUCUGAUUUCAAACCUGCUAGAACCAACAGAAUGUGUCAGUAUUCUUGCAGUUUUUUCCCUCCAUUUUCUUGCAACACAGAUAAAGGAUUGGUUUGUUUAGAUUUUAUGAUUUCCUAUUUUUUUUAAGUUACAGCUACAUAUAUGCAACUCCAUCUUACUCUGGAUUUCCUUUUUUCCUCCCCGUUGCUGCUUUGAACAUGUUGCUUAUAUUACCUGUUGCUUAUAGUUACUCAAUAUCCUAUUUGGCAUCUUGCUUCGCUAAUUUCAUUUAAUUCUGAUAUGGUUCCUAGAUAUACUUCUAUUCCUCCUCCAUACACACUGCCUUGUCAAUUCUUUCUUAUUGUGUCCACUAAGUUCUGUAAUAUAUGAUAUAUUUUUAAUAGAAAAAAAUUUCUUGGCAAGUUGAGGUUGCUUAUAUCCUUGUUAGUUGGUGCUUUUAACUUGAGGUGUGCCCUGUAUAUUCUUUCUUUAUGUCUUCUAUUCGAUCUGAUGAAGGAGGUUUGCAAAAUUGUUACGACGAGAAGAUAUGUCACGUUGUGAAAAUGUGAACAUAUGCUGUAAUGUAUUAUAAAUAGAUCUUUUAUGCUUGCUUUUGGGUAUUGUUCAUGAGCAAUUUUUUUGAACACUUUGAAAUUGGGGGCUUCUAUAUUGUCGCUUCAUGGAUAAAUUGUGCUAAAUAGUUCGUGUAACCAGAUGUAGAGUUAGGUUCAUGUUUUUGAAUAAUAUUUAACGAGUGAAUGUGACAUAUUUUUCAGUGCUUUAGCUUAAUAAUGCAGCCUUGCUAGUAGAUUUGCCUAACUCAUUAUGCUGCACAUGUUAGUAACUGUAUGCUAACUUUUUAUUCACUUCCAGUCAAUAAGUCAAAGAAACAAGCAACACAAGGAAAAAUAGAAGUUUCCACAUCGCAUGGGGCCAAUCAAUUUCGGAAGAGUAUGAGUGGCUAUGCAAGCAACAAAGGAAACAAACGAGGAACCAAAAAGGUUUGAGAUGUUCAUUGCUACCCGAGCAAGUCGGAAGAGGAAGGAAGUGGAUGAGAAAACACAGACUGCUGUUGAAGACUUCCAACACCGCCAAGCUGCUGGUGAAACAGAAGAGGAAUCAUUUGAGGCCUUAUUCGGGAAAGAACAACUAGGUCGGGUAAGGUUGUAUGGAAGAUCUAUGACAAAAACUAAUUUAAAAAAACAUGCUGAAAUUAAUGAAAUCAAGAAUCAUCACAAAGAGGAAGUGUCUAGUCUGAAGGAAAAACUUGGACACAUGGAGGCCCAAUAGCAAAACAAGAGGCCAAACAGCAAAAACAAGAGGAAGAGAUUAAUGGGUUGCGAAAUAUGAUCAAGUUAAUACUGCAGCGAUCGGAACCUGGAAUGAGGCCAGAAGAACUAGAAGCUUUAUUACAAGACGGCCAGCAGUCUCCGAUUGAUGCGAAUAGCGGCCAUGAAUCAACUCAUUUUCCAAACUUAGAUGUGGGUAACAAUGAAGAUUAACAAAUGAAGAUUAAGCUGACUAUUAUUGUGGUUUAUUGGCUAAGAUAGAGUGCUAUUUAGAAUCUUUACAUGUAUGGUUGACUAAUGACUUUUAUUAGAAGAUACUUUUAUUGGCUAAGUGAUAUUAUGAUUUUCAUAUGGCUAUGCUUACUUU